UACAGGGGGUGCAAACGUUGCUCGGAAUCAUUGGGCGUAAAGCGCACGUAGGCGGUCUGUUAUGUCGGAUGUGAAAGCCCUUGGCUCAACUGAGGAAGUGCAUCCGAAACUGGCAGGCUAGAGUACUAAAGAGGAUCGCGGAAUUCCCGGUGUAGAGGUGAAAUUCGUAGAUAUCAGGAGGAACACCGGUGGCGAAGGCGGGUCUCUGGGCCGAUACUGACGCUGAGGAGCGAAAGCGUGGGGAGCGAACAGG
rnacentral:rRNA from 1 species